ACGUCGGUUGGUGGCCGCGUCUGGGACCGAACCGGGCACCGCCUUGUGGAAAAAAAAGAAUAGAAUAUACCCUGUUAAAUCAGACAUGAUACUUGCUUUUGUGGAGCUUAUGCUUUAGUGCAGAAACAGAAAGUCAAGCAAAAACUCAAACUAUGUAACUUUAAAUUGGAUAUGUGCUAAUGAAGGAAAAUGUGGCACUGUAAGAAAAAAUAAUAGGGAGUUAAAGGAUAAAUAGGAGUUUGCUGGAUGAAAUUUAUGAAGAGCUGAAGAUUUCAAACAAAAGAAACUGAUGCAGGAGGGUGCAGCUUUGGAGUCAAGAAUGAAGUUCUAGGAGAUAGAGAGCAAAGAAAUGGUGGGAGAGGAGGUCAAAACGGAAUGAAGUUGAUAAUAGUGAGACCUUGUUGGUACAAGACUAUGUAACAUAACCUGCGCUUCUCAACAAAGAAUUGCUUUUCUGACUUCUGCACUCACAAGACAAAUCUCUCCUCUGCCUUCUCCUUAUCAGACUACUCAACAUGAAGGCAAUAAGAAUGAAGACCUCUAUGUAUAAUAAUUGACUUCCACUUAAUAAAUAGCACCUCCUACGAACCAGGAUCUGUACUUGCUGUCCCAGUUAUAAAGUAAAACAGCCUGUCCUUCCUGCACUCAAGGAGACAGCUCCAUAAGCGGGGAGCUUGUUAAAAAUGCAGAAUUUGGGGAACUAUUCACAGAGAUUUUUACUAAGUUACGUGGAAAAAAGCCUGGGACUAGCUACGAUCUCCCCUCUGGUGAUUUGGAUGUGAUAGUCUCUUAAACAUAUUUUGAAAUAUACUCGCCCAAAGAAUGGAGAAAGACCCAGCCGGCCCUCCUCAUGUGGCUGCUGAGGGAGAUAUAUGUAUAAUUAAAAAACUGCCAAAAACAAA
rnacentral:lncRNA from 1 species